AUGAAACACAAGGGAAGGAAGACCAGAGUUCCAACUUACUGUGUGGCUUUAAUGAAAAAAGCAAGUCUUGCAGUUUGGUGGGAGAGAGUAUGCAGUCACCAACAUGGCAUGAAUUUAGGAGUGAAUAAACGAAAGAAAAGAAAAAACCCUAUUAUUUAG
rnacentral:lncRNA from 1 species